rnacentral:rRNA from 1 species
GACGAACGCUGGCGGCGUGCCUAAUACAUGCAGGUCGAACGCAGUGGGGACGGGUGAGUAACACGUGGGUAACCUCCCAUCAGAGGGGAUAACACUUGGAAACAGGUGCUAAACCGAUACUGAUGGAUGGACCCGCGGUGCAUUAGCUAGUUGGUGAGGUAACGGCUCACCAAGGCCACGAUGCAUAGCAGACCUGAGAGUGGGAGCGGCCAGAUGGGGACUGAGACACGGCCCAGACUCCUACGGGAGGCAGCAGUAGGGAAUCUUCGGCAAUGGACGAAAGUCUGACCGAGCAACGCCGCGUGAGUGAAGAAGGUUUUCGGAUCGUAAAACUCUGUUAUUUGGGAAGCGGUACCUAAUCAGAAAGCCACGGCUAACUACGUGCUAGCAGCCGCGGUAAGAC